rnacentral:rRNA from 1 species
GACGAACGCUGGCGGCGUGCUUAACGCAUGCAAGUCGAGCGAGGCCCUCCUUCGGGAGGUGUCCUAGCGGCGAACGGGUGAGUAACACGUGGGCAACCUGCCCCCGGCUCUGGAAUAACUCCAAGAAAUUGGGGCUAAUACCGGAUAUGACCGCUGACCGCAUGGUCUGGUGGUGGAAAGAUUUAUCGGCUGGGGAUGGGCCCGCGGCCUAUCAGCUUGUUGGUGGGGUAGUGGCCUACCAAGGCGACGACGUGUAGCCGGCCUGGGAGGGUGACCGGCCACACUGGGACUGAGACACGGCCCAGACUCCUACGGGAGGCAGCAGCGGGGAAUAUUGCGCAAUGGGCGGAAGCCUGACGCAGCGACGCCGCGUGGGGGAUGACGGCCUUCGGGUUGUAACCCUCUUUCAGCAGGGACGAAGCGCAAGUGACGGUACCUGCAGAAGAAGCACCGGCCAACUACGUGCCAGCCGCCGCGGUAACAC